AACUUUCGGCAAUGGAUCUCUUGGUUCUCGCAUCGAUGAAGAACGCAGCGAAUUGCGAUAUGUAAUGUGAAUUGCAGAAUUCAGUGAAUCAUCGAAUUUUUGAACGCACAUUGCGCCCUCUAGUAUUCUGGAGGGCAUGCCUGUUUGAGCGUCAUUAACAACUUUCAAGCUCUGCUUGGUUUUGGGCUCUGCUUUUCUAGCAUGCUCUAAAGACAGUGACAGCGUUAGUCUUGGUACAAGCAUAGUAAUAAUAUCUUGCUUGAUGCUUAGGCUUGUGCUUGUCAAAAUACAUUAUCAAGUUGACCUCAGAUCAGGUAGGGAUACCCGCUGAACUUAAGCAUAUCAAUAAGCGGAGGAU
rnacentral:misc_RNA from 1 species